AAAUAGUAUGGCGUCAGAGGCGGCAGGCAGCCUGCGACCAUGGCCAGCUGUCCCCAGCAAGCGGCUGGGAGGGCGGCUUUACAUGUUUACUAGGAACAGAUUAAUCAGGCCUGCGGUCCGAUGAUACAUCAGAAUUACUAGCAGGUUAAUGAGGCCUCAGGGCACACGGGACCUCUGUGCCUUCUCCCUCCCCAGCACCCCGGCGGAGCAACGGGGUCAGGGGCUCAGCCAGCAGGCAGCAUGGGAGUUAUGUUGGACCUGAAGGGGUCCCCUUCCUGACCAGAGUGUCCCCACGAAAGGACAGAGCAGAGCUGCAACAUCUUUGGGGGAGGCACGUUUGAGUCACACGAUUAACCUCAGACCCCGCAGGUUAACAGCCGCAGAAUCCCAGGGUUGGCUUGAAAGUCACCAAACCACGCGAGCUACACCUGAAUGCAGGAGAUGAACAGAAUGCCAGAGACCAAGAGCGCACGUGGGGCCCAGGCAGAGUGCUUCGUGCAGUGACCUCACUUAACUGAAGCACCACUCGAAGAGAGCCUUUCAGGCAGUGCAGCCUCUAUCCCGGCUCCUCAGUGCUGCCACGUGGCGUGAAAGCAGUCGUGGCCGGUACGUGAAGAAGGCUCCUGGCCCGAAUGUUUGUGUCCCCCAAAAUUCAUAUGUGGAAGCCCUGACUCCCAGUGGGAUGCCGUUUGCCUUUGGGAGGUGAUUGGGUUUAGAUGAGGUCCUGAGGGUGGGGUCCCGUGAUGAGUUGGUGCCUUUAUAAGAAGAGGAAGAGACCAGAGCAAGCUCGUUCUCUGCCUGUGAGGACACGGGGAGAAGGCGGCCAUCCUCAAGCCAGGAAGAGAGGGCUCACAGACACUGAAUCUGCCAGCACCUGGAUCUCGGACUUCCACCCUCUAGAACUUUGAGAAAAGUGUCUGUUAUUGAAGUCCCUCCCCCCACCCCAUCUGUGGCGUUUUGUUAGGGAGGCCCAACAGUACAUGAGCAUGGCCCUGUACCAAUGAAGCAGUA